GUUCUGCUCCGGCGUUGGUGACUGCCAAUAGCGUUUUAUGAUCUACAACUCAACGCACAAGGGACUCGAGAUGUCUUGAUGGCAGUAUACCGAGCAUGUACUCGGAAACUUUAAAUCAAGGCCAAGAAUCCCACCUGGAAUUAUUCCAGGUCAAAAACUGAGGUAAGACGGCGCUGUGGUGAACUC
rnacentral:other from 2 species